rnacentral:rRNA from 1 species
ACAGAGCAAUCUGUGUGACUGCGUACCUUUUGUAUAAUGGGUCAGCGACUUAUAUUCUGUAGCAAGGUUAACCGAAUAGGGGAGCCGAAGGGAAACCGAGUCUUAACUGGGCGUUAAGUUGCAGGGUAUAGACCCGAAACCCGGUGAUCUAGCCAUGGGCAGGUUGAAGGUUGGGUAACACUAACUGGAGGACCGAACCGACUAAUGUUGAAAAAUUAGCGGAUGACUUGUGGCUGGGGGUGAAAGGCCAAUCAAACCGGGAGAUAGCUGGUUCUCCCCGAAAGCUAUUUAGGUAGCGCCUCGUGAAUUCAUCUCCGGGGGUAGAGCACUGUUUCGGCAAGGGGGUCAUCCCGACUUACCAACCCGAUGCAAACUGCGAAUACCGGAGAAUGUUAUCACGGGAGACACACGGCGGGUGCUAACGUCCGUCGUGAAGAGGGAAACAACCCAGACCGCCAGCUAAGGUCCCAAAGUCAUGGUUAAGUGGGAAACGAUGUGGGAAGGCCCAGACAGCCAGGAUGUUGGCUUAGAAGCAGCCAUCAUUUAAAGAAAGCGUAAUAGCUCACUGGUCGAGUCGGCCUGCGCGGAAGAUGUAACGGGGCUAAACCAUGCACCGAAGCUGCGGCAGCGACGCUGAUGCGUUGUUGGGUAGGGGAGCGUUCUGUAAGCCUGUGAAGGUGUGCUGUGAGGCAUGCUGGAGGUAUCAGAAGUGCGAAUGCUGACAUAAGUAACGAUAAAGCGGGUGAAAAGCCCGCUCGCCGGAAGACCAAGGGUUCCUGUCCAACGUUAAUCGGGGCAGGGUGAGUCGACCCCUAAGGCGAGGCCGAAAGGCGUAGUCGAUGGGAAACAGGUUAAUAUUCCUGUACUUGGUGUUACUGCGAAGGGGGGACGGAGAAGGCUAUGUUGGCCGGGCGACGGUUGUCCCGGUUUAAGCGUGUAGGCUGGUUUUCCAGGCAAAUCCGGAAAACUAAGGCUGAGGCGUGAUGACGAGGCACUACGGUGCUGAAGCAACAAAUGCCCUGCUUCCAGGAAAAGCCUCUAAGCAUCAGGUAACAUCAAAUCGUACCCCAAACCGACACAGGUGGUCAGGUAGAGAAUACCAAGGCGCUUGAGAGAACUCGGGUGAAGGAACUAGGCAAAAUGGUGCCGUAACUUCGGGAGAAGGCACGCUGAUAUGUAGGUGAAGUCCCUCGCGGAUGGAGCUGAAAUCAGUCGAAGAUACCAGCUGGCUGCAACUGUUUAUUAAAAACACAGCACUGUGCAAACACGAAAGUGGACGUAUACGGUGUGACGCCUGCCCGGUGCCGGAAGGUUAAUUGAUGGGGUCAGCGCAAGCGAAGCUCUUGAUCGAAGCCCCGGUAAACGGCGGCCGUAACUAUAACGGUCCUAAGGUAGCGAAAUUCCUUGUCGGGUAAGUUCCGACCUGCACGAAUGGCGUAAUGAUGGCCAGGCUGUCUCCACCCGAGACUCAGUGAAAUUGAACUCGCUGUGAAGAUGCAGUGUACCCGCGGCAAGACGGAAAGACCCCGUGAACCUUUACUAUAGCUUGACACUGAACAUUGAGCCUUGAUGUGUAGGAUAGGUGGGAGGCUUUGAAGUGUGGACGCCAGUCUGCAUGGAGCCGACCUUGAAAUACCACCCUUUAAUGUUUGAUGUUCUAACGUUGACCCGUAAUCCGGGUUGCGGACAGUGUCUGGUGGGUAGUUUGACUGGGGCGGUCUCCUCCUAAAGAGUAACGGAGGAGCACGAAGGUUGGCUAAUCCUGGUCGGACAUCAGGAGGUUAGUGCAAUGGCAUAAGCCAGCUUGACUGCGAGCGUGACGGCGCGAGCAGGUGCGAAAGCAGGUCAUAGUGAUCCGGUGGUUCUGAAUGGAAGGGCCAUCGCUCAACGGAUAAAAGGUACUCCGGGGAUAACAGGCUGAUACCGCCCAAGAGUUCAUAUCGACGGCGGUGUUUGGCACCUCGAUGUCGGCUCAUCACAUCCUGGGGCUGAAGUAGGUCCCAAGGGUAUGGCUGUUCGCCAUUUAAAGUGGUACGCGAGCUGGGUUUAGAACGUCGUGAGACAGUUCGGUCCCUAUCUGCCGUGGGCGCUGGAGAACUGAGGGGGGCUGCUCCUAGUACGAGAGGACCGGAGUGGACGCAUCACUGGUGUUCGGGUUGUCAUGCCAAUGGCACUGCCCGGUAGCUAAAUGCGGAAGAGAUAAGUGCUGAAAGCAUCUAAGCACGAAACUUGCCCCGAGAUGAGUUCUCCCUGACUCCUUGAGAGUCCUGAAGGAACGUUGAAG